GAUGAACGCUGGCGGCGUGCCUAAUACAUGCAAGUCGAGCGAACAGACGAGGAGCUUGCUCCUCUGACGUUAGCGGCGGACGGGUGAGUAACACGUAGAUAACCUACCUAUAAGACUGAGAUAACUUCGGGAAACCGGAUCUAAUACCGGAUAAUAUAUUGAACCGCAUGGUUCAAUAGUGAAAGACGGUUUUGCUGUCACUUAUAGAUGGAUCCGCGCCGCAUUAGCUAGUUGGUAAGGUAACGGCUUACCAAGGCAACGAUGCGUAGCCGACCUGAGAGGGUGAUCGGCCACACUGGAACUGAGACACGGUCCAGACUCCUACGGGAGGCAGCAGUAGGGAAUCUUCCGCAAUGGGCGAAAGCCUGAUGGAGCAACGCCGCGUGAGUGAUGAAGGUCUUCGGAUCGUAAAACUCUGUUAGUAGGGAAGAACAAAUGUGUAAGUAACUAUGCCCGUCUUGACGGUACCUAAUCAGAAAGCCACGGCUAACUACGUG
rnacentral:rRNA from 1 species